CUAAUAGUUGUUGUUACAUUUAUGACUACAGAGGAAACAAUUUAGAGAAGCAGCCAUUGCACUGUGAACUUAUUUCUUCUGUUGUCUUGCCUGAAUGUUAUCAGCAUGAUCAGAGCAAUCAUUUUAACCAUUGUAACUACUUUAUGGUUAACAGUUUGUGUGGUCUGUUCUCCUGUCAUUCAGCAGUCUCCCCAACAUCUUCUACAGUCUUUGAAGGAGAAACAGGCAAAGCUUUAUUGUUAUCAUGGUGACAGCAGCUACACAUACCUGUACUGGUAUCAGCAGAAAAGCAAUGGUGGUUCUUUAGAACUUAUUGGAAUGCUCAGUUAUGAAGCACCUUCUCCAGAGGAUAAAUUCAAACUCCGGUUUAACAUCACAGGACAUGCUACAAAGGAUGCAUUCCUGAUCAUCUCCAACAUAUCUGCUGAAGACAGCGCAGUGUAUUUCUGUGCAGCUAGUUUGCACAGCCGUACAAUUUGUUAUAAUCACUGGCAAAAAACUGACUUGCACCUGUUUGAAGAGAAAAAUAAAAUAAAAGCCACAAGGUUUCUUGCAUCUCAUGCCAAAACUGGUAAUACGAACAUUUACAAAUAG